UGCCGGUGCCCUUCGGGGUCUCUGGAAACCUUACUUGGGCGGGCGUUUUAGCCCGCCUCUUUUUUCGCGCAAA
rnacentral:sRNA from 1 species